GACUGUUCAGUCUUUAAUAAUGUGAGAAUAAACAGAAUAAAUUAAAAGCACACCAUAUUCUUCUCAGCUUCCUCAGGGGCUUUGUCCAAACAGCUUGAACAACUGCAAAAUAAUAUUCAGGAACCAUGAUAGUGUUUGGUACAUAGAGGACACUGGAAAUGGUUUUCUUAACUGAACAAGUGACUAGAAUAAAGGAAUUAAUGAACGACAUCAGAGCUGAAAUCCCAAACCAUAAAUCAUAAAAGGAUCAGACAGCAAAGAGUACUCAAAAGCUGAUUUAUUGAGAUCCUGAUGAGUUUGAAGUAACUAGAAACUUGAUCAAACAGUGACAAGACCCAAGAUUUGUUUUACUCUAAAGUGAGAAAUUAUCCUCAACAAAAAAACAUUUCACAGUGAGAAUCAGAAGAAUAUUUGCAUCAGGCAACUCUGGGUGCUAGAUAUUUAUUUUUUUUCUUUUUCACAUGAACUAUAAAAACUUACCACAAAAGACUGAUCUCCACAACUGCUUAUACUCUAGGAUUAUUAUACAUUGCACUGUUCUUGCUGAUACUCCAAAGACAUGUAGAAAAUAGAAAGGUAAGUUUGCAGGAGGAAAAAAGAACAAUGGAAUGAAGAAGCAAACAGGGAGUUAAAAUAACUCCUUGGAAUAGUAGAAUCAGGAAAGCAAAGGUAAAGCAUUAAAGUCUAAGGGCUGCAUGACUCCUAAGGGGAAAAUGCAUGUAUUUCUUUUAUUUUGCACUGAGAUUAAAUUUGCUGAUUUUUUUUCAUACUGUGUGUUCUUUCGCUCCCAAUCCUCACAUAAAAUAUUUCAGGGUGACCAACUGCUCUUUUGUGUUACAUUUUAAACAGGUAGAUGACUUUCACAUGUAGGCAAAGUUGAUUCUAGGAAUUAUUGUGAGGUAAGAGAAAUGUGUUUGAGACAAGGUGUGGUCUCUUCUUCUUAAGUUUUCCUCUCUGCAUGUUUUUAUUUCA
rnacentral:lncRNA from 1 species